UCUUGGUCAUUUAAGGAAGUAAAAGUCGUAACAAGGUUUCCGUAGGUGAACCUGCGGAAGGACAUUAGAAUGAGAGCCGGUCCGCGUGGUAAGGUCUGAAAAACCUCACGUCCAGUAAGUGACCGUAAACCUCCACCCGUGCUUAUAUUACAACUGUUGCUUGGUAGGCCGCGCACUGCAAGGUGAGAGCACCGGCUUCGGCUGGAGAGGCCUGCCAGAGGACCCAAACUCUGAAAUUUAGUGACGUCUGAGUACUAUUAAUAGUUAAAACUUUCAACAACGGAUCUCUUGGUUCUGGCAUCGAUGAGAACGCAGCGAAAUGCGAUAAGUAAUGUGAAUUGCAGAAUUCAGUGAAUAUCGAAUCUUUGAACGCACAUUGCGCCCUCUGGUAUUCCGGGGGGCAUGCUGUUCGAGCGUCAUUAUGACCAAUCACGCAAGUGGUAUUGGGGCUUGCAGCUUUCGGCAUCCCUUAAAAACAGUGGCGGUGCCACAGGCUCUCAGCGAGUAAUUAUUCCGCUCUUGAGUCCUGGACGUACUUGCCAAAACCCCAACUUCUUAAGGUUGACCUCGGAUCAGGUAGGGAUACCCGCUGAACUUAAGCUAUCAAUAAGCGGAGGA
rnacentral:rRNA from 1 species